CGUUGUCCGGAUUAUUGGGCGUAAAGAGCUUGUAGGCGGUUUGUCGCGUCUGCUGUGAAAGGCCGGGGCUUAACUCCGUGUAUUGCAGUGGGUACGGGCAGACUAGAGUGCAGUAGGGGAGACUGGAAUUCCUGGUGUAGCGGUGGAAUGCGCAGAUAUCAGGAGGAACACCGAUGGCGAAGGCAGGUCUCUGGGCUGUAACUGACGCUGAGAAGCGAAAGCAUGGGGAGCGAACAGGAUUAGAUACCCUGGUAGUCCAUGCCGUAAACGUUGGGCACUAGGUGUGGGGGACAUUCCACGUUUUCCGCGCCGUAGCUAACGCAUUAAGUGCCCCGCCUGGGGAGUACGGCCGCAAGGCUAAAACUCAAAGAAAUUGACGGGGGCCCGCACAAGCGGCGGAGCAUGCGGAUUAAUUCGAUGCAACGCGAAGAACCUUACCAAGGCUUGACAUAUACUGGACCGCAUCAGAGAUGGUGUUUCCCUUCGGGGCUGGUAUACAGGUGGUGCAUGGUUGUCGUCAGCUCGUGUCGUGA
rnacentral:rRNA from 1 species